rnacentral:rRNA from 1 species
GUCCACGCCGUAAACGAUGGGUGCUAGGUGUGGGAGGUGUCGACUCCUUCCGUGCCGCAGCUAACGCAUUAAGCACCCCGCCUGGGGAGUACGGCCGCAAGGCUAAACUCAAAGGAAUUGACGGGGCCCGCACAAGCAGCGGAGCAUGUUGUUUAAUUCGAUGCAACGCGAAGAACCUUACCAGGGCCUUGACAUGCACUGGAAAUCCGUAGAAAUACGGCCCUCCUUCGGGACCAGUGCACAGGUGGUGCAUGGCUGUCGU